AGUGCUGGCAUUACAGGCGUGAGCCACCCUGCCCGGCCCAUCCAUUUACUCUUAACAUGUUCUCUGCUGCCCCACUUCAAAAGGUGUCUUCAGCCCAGCCUGCCCAAAACAUGGGCUCAGGACAGGGUAGUAUCUGGGGCAUCCCUGGGUCCCAUGCAGAGGUGCUGGUCUCCAAGGUGCUGCCCAAGGCAGGAUGAAACUCAGUUCCAAAUCCGAACCUGACUCCUCUCCCCUGACCUUAAGAACAUGUCCUCCUGGGUCCCCCCACCGUGGCCAGCCAAAAGGCGCAUCCCACGCCUGACUCCCUACACACUGCUGGCUGCUGCCGAAGAGCUGUCCUUUCAACUCCAGGUGGCGCUGUACACCCCUACUAUCUUGAAGUCCGGUGCACAGGAAGGCAUGGGCUGAAUCCUCUGCCAUCCACUAGCUGUGUAGCCUUGGAAAAGGCCCUAAUCCUGCCGCCUCGAUUUCCUCACUUGUACACAGUCAAUAGUAAUCCCCACCUCACAGAGUGGAGAGGAUUCAAGGAAUUAGCAAUGUGAUGAGGCCAGCACAGUGUCUGGCACUAAGUAAGGCUUCUGCAAUGCAGAUUCCCUCCUUCCCUUCACCCUGGGGAGAGCCUGAGGCCAUUGUCAAGAUGACUCCUGACGCAAACUGGCUGCUCCGAGCCCAGAGCGCUGAAGUUCCCAGAAGGACCGGGAGGGGGCGCCCACCCACAUUCUUCUGCAGCUGAGUCUGCGCUGACGAUUUCCUGGGCUUUUCUGGAUCUUCCUGCAGAAAGCCAGUCUUACAUGACCCUGUACAACCUCCUGGACUUUCCCGCGGGCGCGGUGCCUGUCAGGACGAGGGGAAACUGGCCUUCUACAAGGGGUACUACGGAGAUAGUUCUGACAAAAAUUUCUCGGAGGCAGUGAGAGGAUCCAUCGGACUUCCGGUGGCUGUGCAGUGCAUUGCUUUGCCAUGGGAAGAGGAGAUAUGUCUCCGGUUCAUGAAGGAGGUGAACACGUUGGUCAAGAAUCAGAGGGGGCCCAAGUGACAGGCUCCUUUAACGGAGUAACAGCUCAAGAAACAUGGGGCUGGUUGUGGUGGCUCAUACCUGUAAUCCCAGCAGUUUGGGAGGCAGAGGCUGGCAGAUCACUUGAGGCCACGAGUUUGAGACCAACCUGGGCAACAUAGUGAGACCUUCUAAACAUUUUCUUGGUGUUACUCCUGUAGCUCCUCACCCAAGUGUCCUCCUGAUGCCCCUUCCUUCUCAUGAAUACCAUGUCCUCCUUAUGUCUCCUCCUUCUGGAACCCCACCAGGUUCCUUUUAUUUGUUGGUCCCUUUGCGUGGAUGUUCAGUAUUCCUCAGAUGGGCCCAGGAUGGGGAGCAGCGUGAGGAGCUCAAUAAACAUUUUCUGACUGGCC